GCAAGUCGAACGGUAACAUGAGAGCCUGCUCUUUAUAACGAGAGGCGCACAGGUGCGUAACGCGUAUGCAACCUACCCUUUACUGGAGGAUAGCCCGGAGAAAUCCGGAUUAAUACUCCAUGGUACUAUAAAGCAGCAUUACUUAAUAGUUAAAGAUUUAUUGGUAAAGGAUGAGCAUGCGUGACAUUAGUUAGUUGGUAAGGUAACGGCUUACCAAGACGAUGAUGUCUAGGGGUUCUGAGAGGAAGGUC
rnacentral:rRNA from 1 species